rnacentral:rRNA from 1 species
GACGAACGCUGGCGGCGUGCUUAACACAUGCGAGUCGAACGGAAAGGCCCUGCUUUUGUGGGGUGCUCGAGUGGCGAACGGGUGAGUAACACGUGAGUAACCUGCCCUUGACUUUGUGAUAACUUCAGGAAACUGGGGCUAAUACCGGGUAGGAGCUCCUGCUGCAUGGUGGGGGUUGGAAAGUUUCGGCGGUUGGGGAUGGACUCGCGGCUUAUCAGCUUGUUGGUGGGGUAGUCGCCUACCAAGGCUUUGACGGGUAGGCGGCCUGAGAGGGUGACCGGCCACAUUGGGACUGAGAUACGGCCCAGACUGCUACGGGAGGCAGCAGUGGGGAAUAUUGCACAACGGGCGGAAGCCUGAUGCAGCAACGCCGCGUGCGGGAUGACGGCCUUCGGGUUGUAAACCGCUUUCGCCUGUGACGAAGCGUGAGUGACGGUAAUGGGUAAAGAAGCACCGGCUAACUACGUG